rnacentral:rRNA from 1 species
UACGUAGGGAGCAAGCGUUGUCCGGAAUCAUUGGGCGGUAAAGCGCGCGGUAGGCGGCUCGAGUCAGUCUGGUUGUGAAAGCCAAAGGCUCAACCUUUGAAAGCCGAUGGAUACUGGUACGAGCUAGAGUCCGGAAGAGGCGGGUGGAAUUCCUGGUGUAGCGGUGGAAUGCGCAGAUAUCAGGAGGAACACCAACGGCGCAAGGCAGCCCGCUGGGACGGUACUGACGCUAAGGCGCGAAAGCGUGGGGAGCGAACAGG